AUGGAGGCGGGGGUUGAUGUUCUCGAUGCUGUUUAUCAGAAUGCUAUUACCAUGGAUGAGGAUACCAUGGAACCGGAUGAAGAAUCUGUGGCAGCCGUCCACUUCUUUCUUUUACUCUUGGGUGAAGCGCCGCGGUCUGAAGUUUUCAAGACAAUCAUCUUUAGCACCAUCACAACAAAGAAAGUUAAGCAAUGUCAAUCAACCGGUCUUGUCUAUGACUCGCUUGCUAAAAAUUGGAAUAAGUUGUGCAAAUGUGUGUGCCAUCUACGGCUGAUGGUAAUAGAGGCUCUCAUGGAAGCAAACUUAAGGGUUGAGAGACCAAAUGUCAUCAAACCGGCUGAACCUCAUCACACUUUGGUUGAUUUGUUUAAAGAAAUGACAAUACACAAACGAAAGGCCCAGUACAAGUGUAGCUCAAUUGCAAUGGAUGACAAACUCCGGCAAGUAUAUGGAUUAUUGAAGGAAAGAGGUGCUGAUGGCAAGUAUGUUUACAGCGAAAGUGCCUACAAAAACAUCAUGAAGUGCUUGUCUUUGAUACGGUACUCAUCUGUGGUGAUUGGGCUUAUGGUCAGAGAGAAGCCAUAUACUUAUCCCAUGUUCCUUAUUGACACUAAUGACACGUCUGUGAAGUAUGUUGCUGAUGAACUCUUGUUUUGGGAUAAGUAUAAAUCUUUCGAAAAAGAUCACAAGGCAGCUUUUGAGUCAAAAGAUCGUGUUGAAUGUGAGUGCCAAUAUUCACUUGUUAUGAGAUUUCUUCCUGAUACAACUCCGUUUCUACGGCGGUGGGGUUAUUCAGCAUCGUUAAGCAUUGAAGAAAUUAACUUGUGGUGUGACACGUUUAAAUCGAAGACUCCCAGCAUGGGUGAAGUACCAGCCGGAAAGUUUGUUAUUCGUGAGUGGAGGAAGGUGAAUUUAGAACUGGAAACCAAGUUAAAGGCUCUGAUUGUCUUCAUUGGAGAAAAUUAUCUGGGUGACUGA
rnacentral:rRNA from 1 species